rnacentral:tRNA from 1 species
AAAAAAUUAGUUAAUAUAAUAAUAUAAGCUUGUCAUGCUUAAGUUAUCUUUUUUAAGAUAUUUUUUA